GCAGAAGGCACUCCUCUAUCUUGCCCCACCCCUACAGAACAAGUCAGGCACUGACCCCAGACAGCAGCUGUUGCAUGCAGAUCCUGGGGCGACAGGGUGCAGCAGCAGGAGGUGAAGCACUUGGUCCGUUCAACUUUUCCACCAGUGUGAUGUGUUUGCAUCCCCUGUAUUUUGUGAGAGUCCUGAAGCCAGCCUCGGAGCUCUGUUCACUAUGAAGUCAUGGGGGUGCCUGUGGGGAUUGCAACCUGGAGGUGGACAGUGCAAAUAAAAACCCACAUUUUCAUACUGAGUGUGGCAGCUGGGAAGGAAGAUAAAUGGCAGCAGGGCAAAGAUCACUCAUUUCACUGUGGUAGAAGGAAAGCUGUGAUUAGAGUCCCCACAGGGCAGGCUCCCUGGGGCCUGCUCAGACUUCCUCUCUGGAGCCUGUGAUACAUUGAAUGCUUCUUAGGUCAUGUCCACAGAGAACUGCAGGAAUAUGUAGAAACCAGGAGAAGUACAAGCUGCUUCUGGGCUGGUGUCUAAUAGUAUGUCACAAGCGUUCAGAACCUCCUUGAAGAAUUUGAAGAAGGAAGCUGAGGAGAGUAGGAAUCCUAGUUGAUGUCACAGGUUGGAUCCUUUGGGACUGAGCUAGUGUCGUAGGUUUGUUCUCCAGAAGCAGAUGCUGAGAUGGAAUUUGGAGUGCAUGGUACUUAUUAAGAGUUAACCGCUGUGAGGGGCAGGGGAACAGGAUUGGGUAAAAGUUGAAAUGUAAUACAGGAAGGACUAAGCCAACACCUAGGGGUGCUCUCUAGCAUAUUCUGCCCACUAGGGUAUCUCAUGGGCUGAAAUUGCUGAACCUUCAUACUCAGUCAGUCAUGGGAUGUUGGCUACCUUUUUGGAGACUGUGCAGCUGAGGCAAACCCUGAAGGAGCUGACAGCUGAGACCACAUGCCACCCUUUGAAGGGGAUCUGGGUGACACAUCUCCAUAGCUACUACAGCAAGCAACAGAGUGGAAAUUGAGCUUGGAUUCUAUUGAUUCCAAGGAGAUAAUGUUCCUUCCUGCUUUUAUUCAAUUAGUAAGUAUCUACUGAGGACUGAAAAGAAAAAGAAGGGGAAAAUCCUUGCCCUUAUGGAAUUACCUAUUAGUACAGGGUAAUAAAUGUUACAAAGAAAUAAAAUACAAAUAGCCAAGAUAUGGAAACAACCUAGAUGUCCAUUGAUUUAAAAAAAAGUUGUGGUAUAUAU